rnacentral:lncRNA from 1 species
CACGAUGUCCUCGAGGCUGGCCCUCGCUGACCGCGGGGGAACGUGCCUCCUGGGUGGCACUGCGCCCAGGGGACAGGCCCGUUCCGUUUGUGCCUUCGCCCACGGCGCGGCGCUCGCAGGAGUCCGCUUCCCACCGGGGACGCGCUCCGGAGGGGGCUCGGGGCGGCCCUGUGCGGUAUUCCGAGGACUCGGGGAUGUCCUCCGGUCGCCGCGAGGUCCCGCCUCCGCGGGCAGUCCCAGAACGCGGACGCGGGUGGCGCGCGGCGGCUGUGAACGUCGCCGCGCGUCCCCGAGCCUGGCGUCCGCAUCCUUCUCCGGGAAGAGCUGCCGUGCCCGGCCCGCUCCACGUCGGGCUUCGACGUCCAAGAGCGCCCCGCUCCCUCCACCCGUCGGCUGCGACGCAGCCUCCGGCUCCCGGCGCCCUCCCCGGGCACGCAGGUCGGCGAGACCAGCCCAGCUCCCGAUGGCGCGGCACGAAGCAAACCCCGCCUGACCGGGGCCCGCGGCGGGCACCACCGAGUCGCGGUCCUCCAGCGUCUAGACCUGCCGGGUGGGAGCGCCGGAAGUAGGCGCGGCGAGCCGGAAGUGGGCAGAGCGCGACGGCCCGAGAUGAAGCCGGCGGUGGACGAGAUGUUCCCCGAGGGCGCCGGUCCCUACGUGGACCUGGACGAGGUGAGGUGGGAGCGUCGGCGUUCUGGCCUAGCGUAGGGGCGGCUGCCGGAAGGCGGGAGCUGGUUCCCCGCCUGGCGACGCCCGCGCGUCUUGGGGACGAGCCUGGCCGGGGCCCGCGGGGUGGGUACCGGAGGGAGGAGAGAACGCAGGGCCAGAUGGUGGAGCGGCACGGAGCGGGCGGGUCCUGCGCAUCCCACUCCCGGGGCCCCGAACCCAGCUCCUGUCAGGUUUUAAGGCCCCUGCGGGAGGCCUCAGGCUCCGAUUUGCUAGGCGGCUGGUCACUUAGCAGAGUUCGGAGUUGGGUUUGGAGUGGGAGAGUAGGAAAAUGGAAUUAGAAAGGAAACUUGAAGAAGGUCUGAAUAAGGCCGGUGGGAUUUACGUGGUGGUGUCUGCGUGGCUUCCUGUAGCGUUGCGUUGGGGAGGCUGGCUGAGAAGGGGGGAGUCUUGGAACCUUGGCAGCAGCCUGAAACGGAGCACGGAGGCGUUUGGCACUUAAGAGUUGAGCACACACCUUCGAGGGUGUAGGGACCAGAGCAGGAACAGGCUCCUGUGGCCAGCCAUCCAGACAGCUACCAUCAGAGGACCCUGCACUGAUCCUUCCCAGGCGACUAAGCAACGGGCAGAAUCCUGAGUGCAUUCUAUUGCCCAGCGGUGGCAGUGACCUGAUUUUGCCACCAGGAGGAGCUUCAGCUGUGGGAGGCUCUGAGGGCACACAAGGGCCAGGGCAGGUCAGCUUCCAAGGGAAAUGGUUGCAUUCUCAAAAGGGAGGGGUCCAGAAUAGUUGCCAGACUGGGGUUGCACAUGCUUGUGGUCUCUGUGCAGUGUCCAGGAGGGGACUGGAGGCUGAACUUGAGGUCCACAGGUGAGUAGUGGCACACAGGGCAAUGGGAAUUCUCUUUUUGAAAGAAAGGGAAAAAUUAAGGAAUGUAGAAUUUUAAAAACUGCUCCUUGAAUUCCCCCUUCACACACAUUCUUUAUUUGCAACUAAAAUUCUUAACUCCACCCUGAGUACUUGCCUGUCACCCCUCACCCUGUUCCUGUUUCCUGGAGGUAUGGGAUGCUAUGACAACUCAAAGCUGUUUUGGGGAAAGAGCUCACAUAACUUGCCUUUCACUCCCCAGGCAGGAGGCAGCACUGGACUCCUGAUGGACUUGGCAGCCAAUGAGAAAGCAGUCCAUGCAGACUUCUUUAAUGGUAAGGGUGCUGGGAUUCUGCAUGCCUGGUUUUAUUUAAAAGUUUUUCCUGUAAGUUAAUACAGUGGGACGAUCUUGUGACCUGAAUAAUUAGGAUCAUGGAAGAGUGAAGCCAAGACACUGCUGUUCUCAGAGUACAGUGCAGAAAUGAUCACACUGGCUGUCGGCCACAUCUGGAGAAGCAUGAAAUUGCUUCCUGUCUCACAUGCCAGGGCCUGAGAUUGAGUACGUGGCAUGAAUGUUAGCACAUGCUAACGGCCAGUUGUGGCUGCCCUGUCACCCUGGACAGGUUCUCUCGGGUGGCUGUACUCUCCUGAUCUUCCCUC